CAGUUCUUCUCUGGAGCAAUGAAAAUUUCUCCUAACUGCUGGCAAUCAAAUUUGUUGCCAGAAGUUGCUCAGAACUGCUAUAUGAGUCUAGCUCGAGAUGCGUGUGCCGGAUUGCUUUUCAAUGCGAUCUGGUUCCUUUUCUCCUCGGGACAAUU
rnacentral:snoRNA from 13 species